AGUGAACGCUGGCGGUAGGCCUAACACAUGCAAGUCGAACGGCAGCACAGUAAGAGCUUGCUCUUACGGGUGGCGAGUGGCGGACGGGUGAGGAAUAUAUCGGAAUCUACUUUUUCGUGGGGGUUAACGUAGGGAAACUUACGCUAAUACCGCAUACGACCUACGGGUGAAAGCAGGGGAUCUUCGGACCUUGCGCGAUUGAAUGAGCCGAUGUCGGAUUAGCUAGUUGGCGGGGUUAGGGCCCACCAAGGCGAGGAUCCGUAGCUGGUCUGAGUGGAUGGUCGGCCACCCUGGAGCUGGGCCGCGCUCCAGACGCCUACGGGAGGCAGCAGUGGGGAAUAUUGGACAGUGGGGGCAAGCCUGAUCCAGCCAUACCGCGUGGGUGAAGAAGGCCUUCGGGUUGUAAAGCCCUUUUGUUGGGAAAGAAAAGCAGCAGGUUAAUACCCCGCUGUUCUGACGGUACCCAGAGAAUAAGCACCGGCUAACUUCGUG
rnacentral:rRNA from 1 species